AGACCCUCUGCCUUGAAGCCCAGACAGUGCCAAGCUAGGUCCAUCACCUUGUGUCAUUUUCUCUUUUAGGUAUCAGUAAAACAGAACAAGAGUCUGUAACUGAAUUCUUCACUCCCGAAAGUUGUAGACCAUCUCAGUAAAUGGAAAAUGCUUUCAUCCAAAGACAUGUAAUUCUCAUUGUGUUGCCUUCUUUCUGAUGACGUAUUGCCAGUUGUACUUCAAGCAUUUCAUCCUUGCCCCUUAUCUGCAUUCUUGCUCUGGGGAAGAAAAUCAAGACUGCUUCCUCUCACCUUCACUGCACCCUCCUGGAUCUUUUGUGGUAGGGCUGAGUUCCAAGCCUGGGUCAUAAAGGGGAAGUCAUGGUUGCAAUGAUUCCUUGUUGCCAGUAUGCUGUCCUAGAGGCAGGAGAAAUGUGUUCAGCUGGGAGAGUGAAUCAAUUCAUGAUGAAUUCAGAAGACUCUGACCUUGACCCUCUACUGCAUUAUCCAGGGAAGUCUUGGAGUGGCUAAUGGUGAUGUGGUGAAGAGGUGAAUGGGGGUAACUCCUAUACUCUGAGCCCUUAGAACAUCUGUUGUAUAAAAAAUAAAAUAGCUGAGAAUGUUUU